UUACUUACCUGGCAGGGGAGAUACCAUGAUCACAAAGGUGGUUUUCCCAGGGCGAGGCUUAUCCAUUGCACUCUGGAUGUACUGACCCCUGCAAUUUCCCCAAAUGUGGGAAACUUGACUGCAUAAUUUAUGGUAGUGGGGGACUACAUUCAUGCUUUCCCCUG
rnacentral:snRNA from 1 species